AUAUAUAUAUAUAUAUGUGUGUGUGUGUGUAUGUAUGUGUGUGGAUACACACACACAUACACACACACACAUAUAUGUGGGCAUAUAUAC
rnacentral:miRNA from 12 species